AUUAAUUUACAUCUUCAUCGCCAGGGAAUUACGAGCAAUGCUUAAAACCCAAAGGAUUUGACGGUGUCCCACCCCGCUAGAGGAGCCUGUUCUAUAAUCGAUGAUCCCCGCUUCACCUAACCAUCCCUCGCCCAUCAGUCUGUAUACCUCCGUCGAAAGCUUACCAUGUGAACGCCCGCAGUAAGCUUAAUGAUCCACCAUCAGCACGUCAGGUCAAGGUGCAGCUUAAGGAAUGGAAAGUAAUGGGCUACAAUUUCUAACUUAGAACAAACGAAAGACUAUGUGAAACCCUAGUCAUGAAGGUGGAUUUAGUAGUAAAAAGAAAGUAGAGUGUUCUUUUUAACCCGGCUCUGGGACGCGUACACACCGCCCGUCACCCUCUUCGAUGGUACCUCAUUUGUCCCUAACCCAACACUACAUUUUAGAAGAGGCAAGUCGUAACAUGGUAAGUGUACUGGAAAGUGCACUUGGUACACCACAAAAUGUAGCUUAACAAAAGCCCCUCGCUUACACCUAGGAGAUGUCUGUUAAACCCAGGUCAUUUUGAGCCUAAAAUCUAGCCCACAAAUUCUCAUGUCCUCCCGCAUCCCAUAAACAAAUAAACAAAACAUUUUAACAUCUUAGUACAGGCGAUCAAAAAAUUUCUAAGCGCUUCAGAUAAAGUACCGCAAGGGAAAGAUGAAAUAGAAAUGAAAUAACCCUAAAGCCUUAAACAGCAGAGACA
rnacentral:rRNA from 1 species